rnacentral:rRNA from 1 species
GCUAUACAUGCAGUCGAGCGGACAGAUGGGAGCUUGCUCCCUGAUGUUAGCGGCGGACGGGUGAGUAACACGUGGGUAACCUGCCUGUAAGACUGGGAUAACUCCGGGAAACCGGGGCUAAUACCGGAUGGUUGUCUGAACCGCAUGGUUCAGACAUAAAAGGUGGCUUCGGCUACCACUUACAGAUGGACCCGCGGCGCAUUAGCUAGUUGGUGAGGUAACGGCUCACCAAGGCGACGAUGCGUAGCCGACCUGAGAGGGUGAUCGGCCACACUGGGACUGAGACACGGCCCAGACUCCUACGGGAGGCAGCAGUAGGGAAUCUUCCGCAAUGGACGAAAGUCUGACGGAGCAACGCCGCGUGAGUGAUGAAGGUUUUCGGAUCGUAAAGCUCUGUUGUUAGGGAAGAACAAGUGCCGUUCAAAUAGGGCGGCACCUUGACGGUACCUAACCAGAAAGCCACGGCUAACUACGUGCCAGCAGCCGCGGUAAUACGUAGGUGGCAAGCGUUGUCCGGAAUUAUUGGGCGUAAAGGGCUCGCAGGCGGUUUCUUAAGUCUGAUGUGAAAGCCCCCGGCUCAACCGGGGAGGGUCAUUGGAAACUGGGGAACUUGAGUGCAGAAGAGGAGAGUGGAAUUCCACGUGUAGCGGUGAAAUGCGUAGAGAUGUGGAGGAACACCAGUGGCGAAGGCGACUCUCUGGUCUGUAACUGACGCUGAGGAGCGAAAGCGUGGGGAGCGAACAGGAUUAGAUACCCUGGUAGUCCACGCCGUAAACGAUGAGUGCUAAGUGUUAAGGGGUUUCCGCCCCUUAGUGCUGCAGCUAACGCAUUAAGCACUCCGCCUGGGGGAGUACGGUCGCAAGACUGAAACUCAAGGAAUUGACGGGGGCCCGCACAAGCGGUGGAGCAUGU